UUUUUCCCCCCCCCAGCCAACAAUUCUACUCAAAUAUCCCAAUCCAUCUUAUAUAUCGAGUUAACUUAUACUAAUAUAAGUAAAAAAAUGCUAGAAUGAGUAACAAGAAAACAUAAUUUUCUCAUCACACACGUGUUAGUCAGAACAGACCCACUACUGACAAUUAAUGAUAAAGAAAUAAAUGUAAUAACCAACCAUAAGCAAGAAAAUUCUACACCAUCGCACCGUAAAUUCUACACUGAAGUGUUUUAAGAAAGAUUAAAAGGGCGAGAAGGAACUCGGCAAACAUGAACCCCGCCUGUUUACCAAAAACAUCGCCUCUUGCUAAACUAUAAGAGGUACUGCCUGCCCUGUGACAUAUUGUUUAACGGCCGCGGUAUCCUGACCGUGCGAAGGUAGCAUAAUCACUUGUCUCCUAAUUAGGGACCUGUAUGAAUGGCAACACGAGGGUUCCCCUGUCUCCUCCCCCCAAUCAGUGAAAUUGAUCUGUCCGUUCAAAAGCGGACAUUUUAUCAUAAGACGAGAAGACCCUGUGGAGCUUCAAACUCUGAUGUUAAGCAUCAACGUAAAUUAAUACUUCAAGUGACCUAACAUCAAAUGUUUUCGGUUGGGGCGACCACGGAGAAUAAAAAACCCUCCGCAAUGUACGGAUAAACCAAUUUAUAGAAAAACUAUUCUUAAACUAGAAUAUUUAGCACAAUUGACCCAGAUAACUCUGAUCAAUGAACCAAGUUACCCCAGGGAUAACAGCGCAAUCCUUUCUAAGAGCCCCCAUCGACGAAAGGGUUUACGACCUCGAUGUUGGAUCAGGGUAUCCUGACGGUGCAGCCGCUGUCAAGGGUCUGUUUGUUCAACAGUUAAUAACCCUACGUGAUCUGAGUUCAGACCGGAGCAAUCCAGGUCGGUUUCUAUCU
rnacentral:rRNA from 1 species